ensembl:lncRNA
CUCAACUGUUCUGGGGGAACUACGGUCAGCUUCAUAAUGUAAAAUAAUGUGACUGGCUCAACUGUUCUGGGGGAACGACGGUCAGCUUCAUAAGGUAAAAUAAUGUGACUGGCUCAACUGUUCUGGGGGAACUACGGUCAGCUUCAUAAUGUAAAAUAAUGUGACUGGCUCAACUGUUCUGGGGGAACUACGGUCAGCUUCAUAAUGUAAAAUAAUGUGACUGGCUCAACUGUUCUGGGGGAACUACGGUCAGCUUCAUAAGGUAAAAUAAUGUGACUGGCUCAACUGUUCUGGGGGAACGACGGUCAGCUUCAUAAUGUAAAAUAAUGUGACUGGCUCAACUGUUCUGGGGGAACUACGGUCAGCUUCAUAAUGUAAAAUAAUGUGACUGGCUCAACUGUUCUGGGGGAACGACGGUCAGCUUCAUAAGGUAAAAUAAUGUGACUGGCUCAACUGUUCUGGGGAACUACGGUCAGCUUCAUAAUGUAAAAUAAUGUGACUGGCUCAACUGUUCUGGGGGAACUACGGUCAGCUUCAUAAUGUAAAAUAAUGUGACUGGCUCAACUGUUCUGGGGGAACUACGGUCAGCUUCAUGAUGUAAAAU